rnacentral:rRNA from 1 species
CCUACGGGUGGCAGCAGUGAGGAAUAUUGGUCAAUGGCCGCGAGGCUGAACCAGCCAAGUCGCGUGAGGGAAGAAUGUCCUAUGGAUUGUAAACCUCUUUUGUCGGGGAGCAAAGUCACCCACGUGUGGGUGUUGGAGAGUACCCGAAGAAAAAGCAUCGGCUAACUCCGUGCCAGCAGCCGCGGUAAUACGGAGGAUGCGAGCGUUAUCCGGAUUUAUUGGGUUUAAAGGGUGCGUAGGCGGGUGAUCAAGUCAGCGGUAAAAUUGUGGAGCGCAACUCCAGCCAGCCGUUGAAACUGAUAGUCUCGAGUGGGAGAGAAGUAUGCGGAAUGCGUGGUGUAGCGGUGAAAUGCAUAGAUAUCGCGCAGAACUCCGAUUGCGAAGGCAGCAUGCCGGCGCCAGACUGACGCUGAGGCACGAAAGCGUGGGUAUCGAACAGGAUUAGAUACCCUUGUAGUC